AAAAAGAAAAAAGAAAAGAAGAAAUCUAGUAGGGUGAGCAAAAUUUUCAAUUUUCUGAGCUUUUUUUGCUUUGGGAUUGUGCAUAUUUGUGUUUUCGUGGAAAGAAGGAUAUAGUUUUAAUUUUGAAUUUGGAUGUUAAAUUACCUGAUUUUAAGUGGAGAGAGACAGAUUAUUCUGCACAAGGAGAAUUUUACUUCUGCUUAAAGAGCAUUUAGUGGGAAGGGAAAACAUUAAAUAUACAUUAUCACAUUAAAAAUAUCACAAGUCACUUUUUACAGUCUUAUUUAAGAAAAUCUACGUGAGCCCAGCUUCUUGGAAGUAAACUGUUAUUGACAAUGCUUUGCAGAUGAAGAGAUGUUAAGAUUAGGUGUUUGCAUGGACUUUUACUUAUUUGGUAGACAAAAUGCUGCAUCUCACAAGCUUCACUUUUUGUUGUGUUUGGUCAAGUUGUCUUCAUCUUCCUCUUCUUCAUCAAGCUCUGAUUCUUCCAGCAGUGCAUCUGAUUCAGAAGAUGAGGAUAAAAAGCAGGUGAAGAAAAAAAAGAAAAAGAAACAUCGCUCCUCACGGAAAUCUUCAUCAAGCUCAGCUUCUGAAUCUGAGUCAGACAGCAAGGACAGCACAAAAAAGAAGAAGUCAAAGGAAGACCAUGAGAAAGAGAAGGAUGGCAAAAAUCAUCACAGAAAGAGGAAGAAAGUUGAUCGUGGUGAUGGGCCUUUAUCAUCAGAAUCCUUAUCAGAACCGGAUCAGACAGAGGAGGUUCAAGUGAAAAAGAAGAAGAGCAAUGAGGAAAAAGAGAAAACAACAGCAAGUAUCCCUUAUAGUCAUACCGUAGUUUUAGGGCAUCCAUAUCUUGUACUUGGUUAACUUAUAAUUUCACAGUAACACAAAUGUUUAAUAGUUAAAGUCACAUUAAUUGAAAUUUGAAAUUUCUCUCUUUAUCUGUUGAAAUCACUUUUUUCAGCUGCAUAAUUAAGGGAAGAAUUUGUCACUAUUUUAACUACAUAGAUACGUAUGAAUUGAGUUGUAUUUAACAUUCAUUGCAUCAAGUCAAAGUAUGUUUUACCCUGUACCAGCCUAACAACUACAAAUUUCUAUGUAGUAUCAGGUAGCAACAUGUCUAUAGAUAUUGAGGCUGUUCCUUUGUAGGUUUAUUGUGUAUAAAUAUUCCUUUGUACACUUUCUCUACCAGACUAUAAAAAGGGCCUUAGGACUCAAUCUCUGCAGCAUCAUAAUACUAAUAUAAUUCUUCCCUCCACCAAAUGAAAUGCUGAUGGUAACCUGUAGCUUUUCUCUGCUUUGGAUACUUUCUCUGAUGAUAAAGAUGGCACAGGGGUUCAGCAGUGAUAGGGCAGAACCUCAGAUAUGUCACAUGUACCUGAGUUAGGGUUGUAGUUCUGAGCUACGCUGUCUGACUGUGAAGCAGCACUGUUUGUAAUUAGGUACCUCAGUUGCCCAAAUGAGUUAUGGCACCUGAGCACAGGAAUUUCAGUGCUGUUUUCAGUAUGUGGAAUUUGAGUUAGUUUGUUUGUCAUAAAAUUCCUAGUGACUAAUUUUUUUCUUUCUUAAAAGAGAUAAGUAAUGUAUAUAGAACAAAGAUAUUAUACCAAAUUUGCUUUGUUUAUGUUGUUACACCUACUGAAGAAUUCCAAUUGAACUUCUGCUUGCAAAAGGACAAGUUUGUGUCUUUCAGUUUUUGAUUGAAUCUGGUGGUGUUAAUUAAGUGUAUAUGUGAAUAUUUAAAAUUGAAACUAUAUCUUUUGUUAUAAUUAAGGUGCAAAUGCUGGAGAUUCUAGCCUAGUACAGUGCACUGUGAAUACAAGCACCUAAUUUAAGUCUGUAAACAGCCAAGUUACUCCCACGUACGUAAGAUUUCAAAGCACAUUAUUCUCUCAGAAAUUUAUAAAGCACUGAAAAUUUGUUAAAAAGAUGAAGAAAUAUGAUUGUGAUGAUGCUGAGGGGUGUGAAGUAGCCAGACCAUGAUGGAUAAAUUGAAAACUCCUCAUAAUAGUGCAAAUCAUAAACUUUCUUUUGUGAUUUUUUUUCAGUAGGCUUUUAUAAAAGUCUCCUCUGAAGUGCCAUAGAUUUUUACAGAAACAUCUUCCAAAAUGUCUUUGUAAAACUUUCAUUUCCAUGCUCUCACUGUUAUUGAAUGGAAUUUAGUAGAUGGCAGUUUUCUCAUACUGUAACUUCCUUCUCGCUUUUUUUCUUUUUUUAGGAUAAAGCAAAAAAGAGAAAGAAGCACAAGAAGCAUAGUAAAAAGAAGAAAAAGAAAGCUGCUGGUUCAAAUUCAGAUUUGGAAUAGUAUUUAAAAAAAAAAAAAAAACAAAAGCAAGACUAUCAACAAAAGUGCAAUGACUGAAGGAAAUUUAAACUGUGAAAUGAUAACAAACUUUACCAAACUGCAUGAGUUUUCCUGUGUUCUAGAAAUAUUCCUAAUCUUUCAGUAGCCAGCCAGAUGCAGCUGUGCUGGGGAAGACCAUUGUUAUUGCCUGCUGCUUAAUACAUGAGGUACAACUUUUAUUAAAGUCCAGUAAGCAGUGUUAGAUGUUUGAAACAACGUAAGAUGGUAGUCCAGCUAAGAUGUAAAAUAUUGGAAAGUAAGAGUUAAACUUUUUAGAUACUUAAAGUAGUGUUUUAAAGCAUUAGUAAUAGUCUUUAUUUGUAAAUCAGGACAAAUAAAAUCCCAAAUUCAUCUUGUAGGUUUAUGUUA
ensembl:lncRNA